rnacentral:lncRNA from 1 species
GUGAUGGGGGCCUCAGCACUAGGAAGGAGUGGACUGUUGGCGCACGCAGCAGCUUGAAUAAAUCUGAAAGUCACUACGCUGCGUAAGAGAAGCCAAAUAAAGCGCAUGCUGUGUACAGAGGGUGUCGAGAAUGUGUCCUACGUGACGGAAAGCAGAUCCGUGGUUCCCUGCAGACUGGCAGGAGCAGAUUCCAAAGGCACAGGAAGAAGCUUGCAGGUUUCCUUAACGACAACAAAAAAGGGAGUAAUCCUACCUACUGUAAGAGUCAUGACUCUUGAUUGCAGCUGACAGAAACUCAUGACAGCCUGGUUUAGAUAAAGGGGGAGAGAAGGACUGGAAGAAUCUUGGAGUUGGGAAUGUCGCACGUAAUUGAAGGAAGAACAAGAAAACUAUAGCAGCUAUUCCCAACCCCAGAACCUUUGCUGUCUUGGAACAGAUCACCACUGCAAGAGGGGAAGUUGCUACUGUGAUGAAUUCUGCCAUGUGGUACCAGACUGCUACCCAGACCACAGUGUCCUCUGCAACCCUCGUAACUCACAUACAGGCCUGAUUCCACCUACAGCAAAGCUGGAUGCUAUGGUUGGCAGAGGCAAACCCUUUGCCUGCACUUCAGGCCAAAGCCGGGAUGUGGCCUAGAUGGUUCCUAAGGUCCCUGACAAUCCUGAGAUCUUGCAUCUUGUCUAUUUCAGGUCAAAGGUGCCUACAUGUUCCUUCUAGCUUUGUUUCCCU